rnacentral:misc_RNA from 1 species
GAUGAAGAACGUAGCGAAAUGCGCUAAGUAAUGUGAAUUGCAGAAUUCAGUGAAUCAUCGAAUCUUUGAACGCACAUUGCGCCCGCCAGUAUUCUGGCGGGCAUGCCUGUCCGAGCGUCAUUUCAACCCUCGAACCCCUCCGGGGGGUCGGCGUUGGGGAUCGGCCCCUCACCGGGCCGCCCCCGAAAUCCAGUGGCGGUCUCGCCGCAGCCUCUCCUGCGCAGUAGUUUGCACACUCGCACCGGGAGCGCGGCGCGGCCACAGCCGUAAAACACCCCAAACUCUGAAAUGUUGACCUCGGAUCAGGUAGGAAUACCCGCUGAACUUAAGCAUAUCAAUAAGCGGAGGA